UACGUAGGGGGCUAGCGUUGUCCGGAAUCAUUGGGCGUAAAGAGCGUGUAGGCGGCCCGGUAAGUCCGCUGUGAAAGUCGGGGGCUCAACCCUCGAAUGCCGGUGGAUACUGUCGGGCUAGAGUGCGGAAGAGGCGAGUGGAAUUCCUGGUGUAGCGGUGAAAUGCGCAGAUAUCGGGAGGAACACCAGUGGCGAAGGCGACUACCUGGCCUGUUCUUGACGCUGAGGCGCGAAAGCUGGGGGAGCAAACGGG
rnacentral:rRNA from 1 species